UACGGAGGAUCCAAGCGUUAUCCGGAAUCAUUGGGUUUAAAGGGUGCGUAGGUGGUAUAAUAAGUCAGAGGUGAAAGCUAGCAGCUUAACUGUUAAAUUGCCUUUGAUACUGUUAUUCUUGAGUGUAGUUGGCGUUGGCGGAAUGUGACAUGUAGCGGUGAAAUGCGUAGAUAUGUCACAGAACACCGAUCGCGAAGGCAGCUAACGAAGCUAUCACUGACACUGAUGCACGAAAGCGUGGGGAGCAAACAGG
rnacentral:rRNA from 1 species